CUAAGAAUAUUCCGCAAUGGACGGAAGUCUGACGGAGCGACGCCGCGUGGAUGACGAAGGCCGAAAGGUUGUAAAGUUCUUUUGCUGGGGAAGAAUAACCGCAGGAGGGAAUGCCUGUGGGAUGACAAGAACCGGCGAAUAAGCCCCGGCCGACUACGUGCCAGCAGCCGCGGUAACACGUAGGGGGGCGAGCGUUGUUCGGAAUUACUGGGCGUAAAGGGCAUGUAGGCGGCUUGGAAAGCCUGGCGUGAAAGUCUGCAGCUUAACUGCAGGGGUGCGCUGGGAACUGCUGAGCUUGAGUGACGGAGAGGGAGCUGGAAUUCCUGGUGUAGGGGUGAAAUCUGUAGAUAUCAGGAAGAACACCGAUGGCGAAGGCAAGCUCCUGGCCGAUGACUGACGCUGAGGUGCGAAAGUGUGGGGAUCAAACAGGAUUAGGUACCCCUGGGAUAGUCCACACAGUCAAGCGAAUGUGCACUAGGUGCUGGGGCGGUAGCUUCGGUGCCGGAGCGAACGUGGUAAGUGCACCGCCUGGGGAGUAUGC
rnacentral:rRNA from 1 species